GUCAACUGUCAAUGACAUUGUGACGAUGGUGAAAGGUGACCAUGCUCAUCCCCGUGUCCAAGUAGACAUAAAGAUGAACCAGUUUGCAAAUGGUGCAUCUCACCUACUUCAUGUUGGAUGAUUUUGUAUACGAAAUAAAAUGGACGAAUUAUA